rnacentral:rRNA from 1 species
CCUACGGGUGGCAGCAGUGGGGAAUAUUGCGCAAUGGGCGAAAGCCUGACGCAGCGACGCCGCGUGAGGGAUGAAGGUCUUCGGAUCGUAAACCUCUGUCAGCAGGGAAGAACGGUCACUGUGCUAAUCAGCAGUGCAUUGACGGUACCUGCAAAGGAAGCACCGUCUAACUCCGUGCCAGCAGCCGCGGUAAUCCGGAGGGUGCGAGCGUUAAUCGGAAGUACUGGGCGUAAGGCGCUCGUAGGCGGUAUGUCAAGUCAAGGGGGAAAUCCCCGCGCUCAACGUGGGAACUGCCUUUGAAGCGGGCAAACUGGCGGGUGUGAGAGGAUAGUGGAAGUCCAGGGGUAGGAGUGAAAUCCGUAGAUA